rnacentral:rRNA from 1 species
AAUAGAUACCCCGGUAGUCCACGCCGUAAACGUUGGGCGCUAGAUGUGGGGACCAUUCCACGGUUUCCGUGUCGCAGCUAACGCAUUAAGCGCCCCGCCUGGGGAGUACGGCCGCAAGGCUAAAACUCAAAGGAAUUGACGGGGGCCCGCACAAGCGGCGGAGCAUGCGGAUUAAUUCGAUGCAACGCGAAGAACCUUACCAAGGCUUGACAUAUACGAGAACGCUCUAGAAAUAGAGAACUCUUUGGACACUCGUAUACAGGUGGUGCAUGGUUGUCGUCAGCUCGUGUCGUGAGAUGUUGGGUUAAGUCCCGCAACGAGCGCAACCCUCGUUCUAUGUUGCCAGCGGUUCGGCCGGGAACUCAUAGGAGACUGCUGGGGUCAACUCGGAGGAAGGUGGGGAUGACGUCAAAUCAUCAUGCCCCUUAUGUCUUGGGCUUCACGCAUGCUACAAUGGCCGGUACAAAGGGCUGCAAUACCGUAAGGUGGAGCGAAUCCCAAAAAGCCGGUCUCAGUUCGGAUUGAGGU